AGAGACAGCAGUCGCCGCGGGAAUACAGAGGGUGCGAGCGUUAAUCGGAUUUACUGGGCGUAAAUCGUGCGUAGGCGGCUUCUUAAGUCGGAUGUGAAAUCCCUGAGCUUAACUUAGGAAUUGCAUUCGAUACUGGGAAGCUAGAGUAUGGGAGAGGAUGGUAGAAUUCCAGGUGUAGCGGUGAAAUGCGUAGAGAUCUGGAGGAAUACCGAUGGCGAAGGCAGCCAUCUGGCCUAAUACUGACGCUGAGGUACGAAAGCAUGGGGAGCAAACAGGAUUAGAUACCCCGUAGUCCCUGUCUCUUAUACC
rnacentral:rRNA from 1 species